rnacentral:rRNA from 1 species
GACGAACGCUGGCGGCGUGUUUAACACAUGCAAGUCGAACGGAAAGGCCCUGCUUUUGUGGGGUGCUCGAGUGGCGAACGGGUGAGUAACACGUGAGUAACCUGCCCUUGACUUUGGGAUAACUUCAGGAAACUGGGGCUAAUACCGGAUAGGAGCUCCUGCUGCAUGGUGGGGGUUGGAAAGUUUCGGCGGUUGGGGAUGGACUCGCGGCUUAUCAGCUUGUUGGUGGGGUAGUGGCUUACCAAGGCUUUGACGGGUAGCCGGCCUGAGAGGGUGACCGACCACAUUGGGACUGAGAUACGGCCCAGACUCCUACGGGAGGCAGCAGUGGGGAAUAUUGCACAAUGGGCGGAAGCCUGAUGCAGCAACGCCGCGUGCGGGAUGACGGCCUUCGGGUUGUAAACCGCUUUCGCCUGUGACGAAGCGUGAGUGACGGUAAUGGGUAAAGAAGCACCGGCUAACUACGUG